UGACCGUUUCGACGAAGCCUCGGAGUUGUGUGCCAUUGAGUUUUCAAUUGUCUGUGAUUUUUACUAAAGGACAAGCAGUUGUCACUUGGUCUUACGAAGACAUCGUUAGGUAUCCUUAAGAUCGCCGGUUCCUCUGACCAGAAAUUAAAACAGUAUAAAGCUUAAAUUAAAAGCUUUUUUAUACGUAUACUCAAACUCAAAAUAACUUUAGUCAUAAGCACACUUAUGAUCGUCAGAAAAGAAGUUAAAUUAAUUGUAAAUUUACAUUUAGUACCAGUUCGCAAGUCAAGGGCGUAGAGCGGGCACCAACUUAAUGAGUGCUUGUGUAACACUCCAAAAGGAACAAAAUCAUAGUUGGUGGAAAGAGAUUUUAACAGUUAUUAUUUUCCACCGUCCAGCCGACCAGAAUACCAUAUCUCCAACUCGGCUAGCUAGGAUCUGUCCGAUCCGACAAGACGCAAGAUUUUAACUUAACAUCCUCGCACGGUGUUCUAACGCUCCAAACCAGGGAACUGUUAAAAUGUAUCUUCAAAGAGCCCAUUUUAAUUCCCACCCAGAAGAUGUUCUUACCAACCACUAAAUAAAUGAAGCAGAUUCUUACCCAAUAGAUGGACACUGAUGACCUAAAUAACUAUGUGGAUGCUGUAAACUGAGGACAGCACUCAUUUCUUCAUGAUCAGCUUGAUGGAUGUACUCAUAGAUUGAAUUGCCAGUCAACUCCACCUGUGAAUUUUACUAACAUUAAAAACUGAGCUAUCGAAAACUAAUCUAAAUUAGGCAAGAAACGCUUAGAUACUCUUUAAUAAAAUUGUAUUACACUGUUUUUAGAAAUAUUUUCUAAAACAAUUUAUCUUUCUGUAACGACAGCUAAACGUCGAUUGAUAGAUGCAUGCGGCUUUGACCUGGAACCGCUAAGAGAAGAAAAGUUCAAGGUAAAGGAAAAUGUAUAAAGGCAAUGGUUGGGAGAGUUAACCCAGUAUGUUCAGACUAGAUCAAUGAAUUGCCAUAUCCUGAUGAGAUUAAACAGUAAUGGUAGGACAAGGAAUGUUGGUUGGUACCAGUUUUUAAAAUCUAUCCGGAAUGUACCACAUUCUUUGCAAAUAAACGAUUUAAGAUUUGAUAAAUUAUUUUUAUAACUGAUAAAGAAUUGUUCUGAAAUUCCAAUUUCAACUAAAUGAAUCGCUAGUAACAGUAAAGAGCAGGUUAAAGAAAGAUGGUUCAAAGCCAGUUCAUCCUUGGGAUGUCAUCAUCAUCCUGGUACCACCAUCGAAGUAUCUUUUUUCCGACAAAAAAUCGGCUCACGAACUACGAAGUUAUCCGAGAAGAAAGAAAAUAUACGGUUGAAUUGAGAAACCUUCACCGUUGAAGUCAGUUAAAAAUCUACUCCAUACCUGACUCAAACCUAGGUGAACCGACGCUGUCUCACUGAUAUACAUGAUCUUUCCGUCAGGUGCCACUACGAAGAUGAAGCCAUCGAGGGUCUGUAGUAGGUGGGACCCAAGUUCCCGUAUGGAGAGCUCCCGCGGCUGAGGUGGUGGUGGAGCGGCCCCCCAAGCGUCUCCUAAGCCUAUAAAAUAAUAUAUGGGUCCAGGUAUCUCAAGACAUUAUGGGGGUGAGAAUGUUACAGAAAGAUAUGAUAUAUCCUAUAAUCUUGGUUGUUGUGUAUACAAUGUUUUUUAAAUGUUAUGUUUAGAAAGAAAAUUAUGACUAGUUUCACUUCGGAAAUAAAAUUUCUAUAAUUUUGUA